CCGUAAGCUGCAUCAUGUACGGUAAACACUUUUCUGCAGGGAGAUUCAGUGUCUUAAUCUAAGUUUUGAACAAGAUGAAGGAUCCAGAUACAGUUCUUUAAUUUGAGAGCCCAGAACACAGACAGCUUUGCUCUGUAAAAGCUACCUCAGGAAAUAGGAAUGCGGUAUGAUUUACAGUUAUAUGGGUCACCAGGACAUUACCAUCCACAGAACUGAUAUCACACCCAGAUAUAGCUUUCCUUCCCCUUCACUACCUACAGUUAAGAAGGUUAUUCCUUUCUAGAAAGCCAGCCCAAAGGUGGGUGCCAUCACUCAGGCUAGGACAAGGGAAUUUGCUUUGCUAAGAUUGAAAACUCUCUGAUAACAUGAUCAAGCAAGACAGAAAUCCUGAGAGUUUCCUUCCAGAAUCCAUAUCUAUUUCCUCGUCUUCUACCGUAAGCAAAAUAGUUUCAUGAGCAUGUGAUAACUGAACAUGAGUUAUCACAUGAACACUUACAAAUUUAAAUAAAAAAACCCUUGAUGUGGAGAGUGCUCUGAACUCCACUGCUGAACAAUCAACCUUUAUUUGCCUAACCAGCAAUACCUUGGGCAGAAGUUAUUUGCUUUAGCUUCACCUGAAAAAAAACCUGAUCUCCUACUGAAGUAGUGCCUUUUUAUAAGAUGCAAGUUACAUGUGUGUUUCAUUCACACCCACAACAUGAACAUCAAACCAAGCAUCCCACACUACCAAUUCCUCCAAAUGAUUCUCCUUUUCCCCCAUUUCUACAUUCUUUGCUUUUGCACUUACUUAAGCACACUGGAUUUCAGCAUUUACUGGUUUUCCCAUGUACUCCAGAGUACUUCAAGUGACUAAAUUGAAACCACAAGAGGUAAAACUACUAGCAUGACUGUUGCUGAGGAGGAAAAACCAGCAACCCAGGUCUGGUUCACUCAAACUCUCUGAUGAUUCGUAUUUAAAACGUUGAGGGCUACAGUCAUCAUCUGCUCUGAUGUAUGCUGCUGCAAGUCAACUGAGGUUAUGAAAUGGGAUCUGGCACCACGGAGAGAACUGUCCCUUCACAGGAUACGAGUAAUAGUCACUUGAGUAAAUGCAAGUUAUUCAUAUCCUGCUAGUGGAAUAAUCUCUCUUUGUACAUUCAUACACAUUUUUAGUUGCCUCCAGGAAUCCGAAGGCGAAUCUCAUUUGUUACCUAAUGAAAUUAAUUCCACCAGAUCUAACACAAGCAUACUGGAAAACCACUAUUACUCAUACAUGAGGUGUAACCAAUGCAGCAUUUCUCAAAUUCUGUUUGAUUAGGGUCCAUCUCUGAACCCUCACCAUUUACCACACAAACCUCAACCACUCCGGUUGGCUACGGUACAUUCCCAGCUGAUCUGCUCCAAGUCUUAAAGAGCAAUUUGAACAUUUGACCUCCCCUUGCUUUAUCCACAACAAUCUUACUAUUCUUUUAAAUUGAAGCGAUUCUCAAAUGGUAGGUUGGCCGGUUGUACAGUUUCCCUGGACUCUGAGUCUUUGAGAACGUAUCUUCCCUUUUUCUAAAUAGAAGGGAAACAUGCAUUUCUUAGUUGAUCUGCAAAUGUGCUAAAUAAUGCUCAUAAAAUGAUCAACUGGGCCGCACUGGUGGGCAUCCAAAAGUGAUGCACAGACACGUGUGCUAUUCAGGUACAGUUACACACAUAUACACAAGCACUUUUGAAAGCAGCAAGGUCACGUUGCAUGAGAAAUUAAAUUAUUCUGGUAGGAAAUGCUGCAAGAUAAAGGACUCACUGAAAGGUGCAGGAAAAGGUUAGGAUAUAAUCUUUGAAGACUGAAGGCACCAAAGAGUUCAGUGACUAGGCUGCAGAAAUAACAACCCAGGAUUCUGAAGAAACACGCUGCAGACUUUCAGUGGUCUGUUGAGUCAAGGUGGUACGGUGACAGGAGAAUCAAAAGCCUCAUCACAGGGCAUUGAGACAAGUGUAGGCAGAUGAGUUCAACUUCAGUAGAAGGCUUUGAACUAAGAUGUAGCAGGGCAUGAGGCAAAACUGAGAUCGGCUAAUUGGAAGUAAGUGCCAUGCUAACAUAGCAACUGAUUUCUACGUAACAAAAAGGCAAGAAGUCUAAUCUGGACUUCAAUAAUGCAUUUGAUACGGUGCCAUACGACCCCAUAACCGAGUUAGGAAAAAAUUUGACAUACAAGAUUUACAGAGUUAGAGAAGAGCACGUGCUCUUCAGCCGGUAACAUACCACGCUCCAAGACAGCAGCGGAUCGGGGCAGGGUUACUGCAAGAUUUAAGGCACGUAAGUCAUAAGGGUGUCACGGCGCGCUGCAGAUGGCCGCGCUGGAAGCACGGGCAGAUCAUGUGGAACGCGCCGCGCACACUCAAAGUUCGGGGCGAAGUUUGGCGGCGCGGGAGGCGAGGCCACACGCUCCGCCGGUCGCAGCAAAAGCAGCGGGGAAACCCCGGGCUCGGGGCCGGCUGCAGCACCUCCGGGCCGGCCCGGCGUCCCGCGGAACUCUCGGACAGUCUGCGGGCCGACAGGCUGAGCCGAGCCGGCACCGAGCCCGGCCGCCCGGCGGAGGUGGAACAACAAACUUGCGAACAGAGAAGAAAAGAGUCCCAGAAAAUGGGUUUAAAAUGACCGAAUACCCUUCAUAUAGCAAAUUAUGCACUUCCUCUUCAUGGCAAUGGCAGCAAAAUCAGCACAGUGUUUCCUCUGUCCUGGGACCCUGCACCACGCUUGUCUGAAUGCUCCCACCUCAAACUGGCUGCCCCAGCAUUUUACGGAAGCUAUCCUCAUUCUGACUGCAGUCUCUACAGUUUUUCAUCUUUGCUCACAUCUGCACUUCCUGCUCCCAGCUGCAACAGAGAUCAGAAGUGAUAGAACACCAUGAAAGAAAGGCCAUCCUGGUAGCAUUUCCAGCUUGACUGCAUACAACAAAUACCAGGAAUCUUGGAAGAGAAUGUAUUUGCAGAUGCCCAGCCCCGUGUUCAGAUGGAUAUCUGAACACUUAGGUGCUUAACAACCAGAACUCCUGAUAGUAGCAGUAAGCAAUCUUCUGAGUUUUCUAAAUCGAUAACGUUGUUUUAUAUCAUUAAAGCUGUGAAAAUUUAAUGCCAACAGUAGUUGCGUCACUUGGGUAGGUACCUGCCUUGUGGAUACAUUCAGGCAGUGAGAAGUGAAGCAUUUGUACAGUUGUACUUUAUGGUUUACAGUUCUACAGGUGCAAAGCAAGAAGCCAGUCAGAAACCAAAGGGACAAUAUAGACUUGUUGCAUAGUUUUGUCCUUUCAAGAAACCAUGUAAUAAAUAGGUUGCCCAGAGAGCUGGUGGACACCCCAUCCCUGGAAACACUCAAGUUCAGGCUGGAGGGGCUCUGAGCAUCCUGAUCUAUCAGUAGCUGUCACUGUUCAUUGCAGGGGGGUUGGACCAGAUGGCUUUUAAGGGUCCCUUCCAACUCAAUCAAAUCUAUGAUUCUGUGAUUUUAAAUGUAACCAGAAGUAUAUAUAUUUUUCCUGUGAAUGUCAAAUAAUUUCAAAUAAAAUAAAUUGCUCUAGAUUACUUGCAGUUUCUUCCUGCUUUCUGGUCUGUUUAAGGAUCUUUGAUCUGUGGGUAAAAGAAAUGAAUUGUGUAAAAAAUGUUUCUGGCAUUAAUGGUCUAACUGUAAGUUAAUACAUCUGAUUCUUACUGAACUUGUUCUUUGAAAUUGUACUAGGUCGAGUGAUUACUUAUCUUUAACUCAUCUGAGGUUUUUGCUGUGAUUGAUUGACUUUCCUUUUCUCUCUUUUGUCAUAAUGGAACCAGAUAAGCACUGCUCACAAGAAAGCCUGGGAGGUUGGGACACGGUUUAAUGAUGUGGUGAUGAUGGUUUGAUGGUUGGACUAGUUGAUGUUAGAAGUCUUUUCCAAUCUAAAUGAUUCUAUGAUUCUAUAGUCUAUAUUAUGAAGUUUUCCGCCUCAAAAAUCAACUGUAGCAUCAUCUUAAAGACUUUCCAGAGAUAAAAUCUUCGUCUUUUUUAAGUUCUGGACUUUUCUGACUUGAGUUGUGCAGUGAUGGUUCACACAACUUGAAGAUGUGACCUCAAUAUAACACUUCUCAUCACAUUUGAGGAAAACUAUCAGUAAUAAAACGUAACAUACUCCUACACAGAAAUGCACCCAGCCCUUUGUGACAGUUUUUGAAGUAGGUCUUGAGCAAACUCACUUCAUCUAAAACUUCUCUUUGGCCUUCUCGACUCCAACCACAUUGGAAGGGAAUCUUUGCAUAGAGAUAGAAUCUUUGCAUGAGACUCCAAAUCACAGAAGCACAAGUGAUGACAACAGAAAUAUGAAUGUACUGGCUCUGGCCCUCGUCCAUACCAAGCAGCAGUGUCAGGGACAGGAAAGUGGAGUUGGAGUUGGGUCUGGAAACCUAACAAGGCAGUAUGUAUCACAGGUAGACAUGAGAACUGGAAAAGACUUGCAGAAAGGAAUAUUGUGGCUGGAGAAAAGAGAAGGGAGUAAGAUGACAGAUUAAUAGCUAGUGUUGCAUAAUUGGUGUGUCUUAAAAAGUUUUACUUGUUUGCUUAUUCACUCCAAAGUUAUGUACCAAGAGCAGCAGCAGCAGAGUUGCAGGCCAGAUGGUAGAGGAAGUGUAUCUUUCCAGCCCGCUGAAGCCUGCAGGGCCAUCAUUAACCCAGUGCUCUGGUUUUCAUUGCAAAUCCCUUUCUUCCCUUUUCUUUUCCUUUCUUCAAAGAAAAAGAAGGGAGGGGAAAAGAGGAAGAAAAAAAAAGAAGAAACGAAAAGCCAUGGUUUAAACUGGCAAUAACACCAUCCUUUUGGCUUUGAGCUAUCCCACCCUGUGCCAAAUACAGUCUCCAACAGCUCUCCCACAACAAAUCAGGCCAAAUACACAAAAGCUGUAGAAAAAGAAUGGUGAAGAAAGAUCCUUGAUUCUCUCCCUAGCCCCCCAGCCUUUUCCUUUUGCUUCUCUCCCCAAGCUUCAUUCCCCAGCAGCGACAUCCUCCUGUCUGCCAGUGCUGUAAAUGAUGCUGGAACCUCCAGUCUGCAGCUUUGUUGACAGCUGCCUUAGAGUGCAGGCAUCUGUGCCUUUAUGUAUUGAGGGAGCAAUGUAAAGGAAAAGUUACAUUCCAUUAUUCCUGGCACUUCUGAGAGCCAAUGUUUCAAAAAAUGGCACAAAUUGUUAGCAUAGCAAAUUAAUCACAAGUAGAAAUUGUCUAUUCCAUCAGUUAACCCAUACCACUGCACUGUGUCACAACUUACAGUUAGGCUUUUCCAAGAAGAUACCUGAAAAAAAUAGUGAUAUUAUCUGUUUAUACAGUACAUUAUUUAAAAUUUUUCAAAACUGAUUAGCAAACAUUAAGUAAGUGGUCCAAAUAUUAGGCACCAGUUUCAAAGACCGUAAGAUAAUGAUUUUUAGAAAGUACAAAAAAUGAGUGUUUAGAUGGCACUCAUUAGCAGAAUCAUCUUAAAUUAAUAAUCACUUAUGAAAAGUACGUCUUUGCCUCUGUCCUUGGGGUUGUAGAUUCAUAGACAGACAAUAGGAGAGGCAUUUGCCUAGGGUCAGAACCGAGUGGUGAUAACAUCAAUGGCAUAAACUUAUAGAAGGCUGGAUGCUGCUGUUAUACAUCAAGAAGAAAAUGUGCUGCAUAGUUGUAGGGCAGCAUAGAAGGAGCACUGGAGAACACAAUAAUGUGAACAACUAAUGUUUAGAAAGGACAAGGAACUGCUGGAGAGACAUGGAGAGUACGACAGAAGAAACAUAAGCAGGCAGAGGUGUGCAGAGCUUACAACCUCCUGCUUUAAAGAUGACCUGUUCCUGUUCCUCCACUGCUUUAACAAUCUUAGUAUAAUUUUCUUAUUCAUUACCGCACAUUUGUCUUAUUUCAGAUAUCUAUUUUAAUUUUUUUCUUAUUAAUAAGAACAGUGACUCUUAGCUAGCAACUGUCUCAUUAAAUAAUUUUGUAUUUCUCUGGGGACAAUUACUAUGUCUUAGCUCUAGACUGCACAUACUAAAUUCUUUAAGCUCUGCAUCAUAAUUUUUCCCCCAACCCUGACAUUGUUUUUAAUUUAAUAUUUUUAUUACCAAUUCUUAAUUUAUUUUUAUCAUUCUUUUAAUGUGUACUCAAGGUACACA